CCCAUAUGUGAAUGAAAAAUUUGAAUAAUAUGUCGUUAUGAUCCAAAAUAGCACAAGAGACAAUACAUCUAUCACAAUAGAAUAAAUUGAUGAAAUGGGACACAUGUAAAUUGUUCCAAGAUUUCAAAGGGUUGCAGAAGAGUAGAACAGAGGAAAAGAGUAACAAACUUUUGGCUAUAUUCACUAUAUAAGGAAAAGCACCCAACAACAUAGGAAAUAAAUUAUUUAUGAAGAAUCUAGAUUCUCUCCACUUGACAAAUUUUAAAAUGUCGUUUCAAUGUGAAUUAUGUAGUGUGCAGUCCAAAUUGGAGCUGUAUUUGGAGCUAUAACUCCUAGGGUUGGACAAAUUUGAGAUAAUUAGCCCAACCCAACCGACCUGCAAAAGAAAAAUGGUGAUCGAGAGGGUGGGGCGGAUGACGUGGACAUUUGUGAUUGGGUCUGUACGAGCGGGUUCAUGUGAGUUAAUUUGGACUGGCGGUGUCCGAACGGGGUUCACCCAAUAUAUAUAGCAAAUAGGUUUGGAGAUUAAUAUAGCAACACCAUUUUAAAGGAACAAGGUGAUGUGCUAGAAUUGAAUGGAACAACCUGUUGCAACAUGGAUCAAGCUUCUUGAACUAUAUUUUGUAUUUACAUUUUAAAGUUCAUGCGAUGAUGUUAUUUGAUACUAGAUAAUUGAUACAUUAAGUGUAUUAUAUGCUAUGUAUAAAUGUUUUAUGCUAUAUUUAAGUGUCUUAAAUAUUAUCUUUAAGUUAUUGGUACAUGCUCAUCAGUUACUCCUUUAUUCCAAAAUCUGUGUACAUGUAAAAUAAUGAAAAUUGAAUAAACACAUUUUCCUUUUU